CAGAGCUCAUGUGGCUUUCUGGUCUUAUAAAAGGCGAAGUCCGCUUCUCAGGAACUUAGUUUCAGUAGAAAACCGAUUCUACAGUCUGCUCAAGACACACCGGAGAAUCUGACGCUGUUCGUCGUCCCCGAAGUUCACUGGCAGAUGAGGUACUCGACGGAAUUCUCACAUCUGCAGUGAGCGCACCUAGGUCCUUCGCGUGGCGACAGAUAACGCUUCAUCAAUAAUAAAGGCAUUUGCAUUUACCGGGUGGGAGACUGAAGAGGACGAUGAUGAUGACAAUUUCGCCGACUGCCCGGAAGGCUUAACGAAGGAGCUUUUAAGCGAGUUCCAUUAGUUGGAGCAAUCUCGAUUUGGCUGCGCCGCCCACAGCCUGCAGCUUGCCGCAAAAGACGCCAUUCGGCAGGUAUGCGCUAUUAAAUAACAUAUUGGUUUCAUAUUA